rnacentral:rRNA from 1 species
GAUCAUGGCUCAGGAUGAACGCUAGCUACAGGCUUAACACAUGCAAGUCGAGGGGCAGCAUGGUCUUAGCUUGCUAAGGCCGAUGGCGACCGGCGCACGGGUGAGUAACGCGUAUCCAACCUGCCCUUGUCCAUCGGAUAACCCGUCGAAAGGCGGACUAACACGAUAUGCAGUUCACAGCAGGCAUCUAACGUGAACGAAAUGUGAAGGAAAAGGAUGGGGAUGCGU